rnacentral:rRNA from 1 species
GAUGAACGCUGGCGGCGUGCCUAAUACAUGCAAGUCGAGCGAACGGACGAGAAGCUUGCUUCUCUGAUGUUAGCGGCGGAGGGGUGAGUAACACGUGGAUAACCUACCUAUAAGACUGGGAUAACUUCGGGAAACCGUAGCUAAUACCGGAUAAUAUUUUGAACCGCAUGGUUCAAAAGUGAAAGACGGUCUUGCUGUCACUUAUAGAUGGAUCCGCGCUGCAUUAGCUAGUUGGUAAGGUAACGGCUUACCAAGGCAACGAUGCAUAGCCGACCUGAGAGGGUGAUCGGCCACACUGGAACUGAGACACGGUCCAGACUCCUACGGGAGGCAGCAGUAGGGAAUCUUCCGCAAUGGGCGAAAGCCUGACGGAGCAACGCCGCGUGAGUGAUGAAGGUCUUCGGAUCGUAAAACUCUGUUAUUAGGGAAGAACAUAUGUGUAAGUAACUGUGCACAUCUUGACGGUACCUAAUCAGAAAGCCACGGCUAACUACGUG